CGUAGGCCACAGUCUGGUAAUUUGGUUUAUCUGCCCUGAGACAGUCAUAAACUGACCAAGCGGACUGAAUGCCCAGGGCCCAGGGCCAGCCACAGGGCUCUGUACGUUCUGCAAACUAAUCUUGGUUUUCACACCUUUACGUGGUUACAAUAAGUCAGAUGGAGGCUAUUAGUCUGUGGCAUGUGAAAGGUAUAGGACACUCGUAUUUCAGGGCUACGGCAAUUAUCUUAAGCAAGUUCUCCACUGGGCAUGCACAUCACAGGGUAGCAAGUCCACACUGGUUGUCUCAUUUCCAGACAGGCAUUUAUGGAAAUGCUCAAUUUUCUGUCUCAAUUACAGAACACUCCCAAACGAAAUAUAGACAAAAUUUUCAGUUAUCUUUUCUUAACAGAUGCCAUUUCCUGCCUAUGGUUUUUAAGUCAUUAUUUCUGUAUGAACUUCAUGUCCUAAAUGUUUUUUGGGAGAGAUAUUUAAUAAUAGUAAUUUUUCUCAUCACUACAUAACAAUAAAGGAAAAUUCCUUAAAUAUAGAAUAUGUUUACCAUUUAUCCAACAAACAAACAUAGGAUCAUGCACUGUGACCUUGAACUUUGGAAGUAAAUGUGCAAUUCCGUUUUCCCUUUCAGAAUAACACCUAUAUUUGAAUUUCCACUGAGAGAACACGUCUGGCACACUUCCCCCAAUGUCUGUCCGCUGCUGGGUCCCCCCACAUUGAAUUUGGCUGAGCAAUACUCAGGGAAGCCGGCCCCCAGGGAUGGCCCGUGACAGCCCACCGUGUGCUCACAUGAAUGUGUGUUGCACAUGGAUCUGGAUCAUAUAAACCCCUUGAACUCUCUGACAUUUCCUUCUAUUCCACACAGCACUUUUCUGGGCAAAGCAACUGGGAAAGUCACCUCCCCAGGAGGUCUGACCACAGAAAGGAAGGAGAAAGUUUUUCAUGAAGAAAAUCACCCCAAGUGGCCGGAACAACUUGGUCAGCCUCCGGCUGGUAACUCUUCAUGCAACAUACGUGUAGAUGUCAUGCGUCGUGGACCCAGGCACCAUUCUCUGACAGAUUCAACUGAACCAGACCGUCGGUCUCUGCCUGAAGACACUCUCAGCUUAGGGCGGAGCCCCCUUCCCCCACUCAGCAAUACUUACUGGGGGUGCCCUGUAUACCAGGCUCACUUAAGAAUCUGCCUCUGGAAUAUCUGUCAUCAUCCCAGAGAAAGCAAAGUGUCGGAGAAAGGAAGGAACUGUCACCCCUGAAUGACUGACUAUUCACGUCACAGAGAGUCCUCUGGGCCGUCAGCCUCCAGCUCUGAACCAUCCUCUUCGGCCUCCUGCUCUUCUGCCUCUGGGAGAAGACUGAUGUCUUCA